AUACGGGGGGAGCAAGCGUUGUCCGGAAUUACUGGGCGUAAAGGGCGUGUAGGCGGCUUGAUAAGUUAGAUGUGACAGCCUUCUGCUUAACGGAAGAAUUGCAUUUGAUACUGUCAGGCUUGAGUUCGAGAGAGGGUAGUGGAAUUCCCAGUGUAGCGGUGAAAUGCGUAGAUAUUGGGAAGAACACCAGUAGCGAAGGCGGCUACCUGGCUCGUAACUGACGCUAAUGCGCGAAAGCGUGGGGAGCAAACAGGAUUAGAUACCCUAGUAGUCC
rnacentral:rRNA from 1 species